UUACAAAGUACAAAAAAUCGCAAAAAAAGACAAAAUUGAAGAAUUUUAAAUUUUAAAAAAAAAUGGAAGAAGAGUUGAAAUAGUCAUUUAGUUCACAAAAUAUUUUGACUGAGAGUGCCCCAUGAACUGCAUGUAAUCCGAGUGUUUGUGUGAAAAUAGUAAAAUUCAUGUGGGUUGACAUUGGAGUGCAAAUUUUGUUUUUAGGAGGCUCAGUUGUGACCUAGCGAUGGUGCAGUGCGGAUGAAUUUCGCCUCAAAUUCAGACUUUAAUUUUUAUGUGGUGUGAUUGUGAUAUUGGUUCGGGUAUUGUUUUCUUCUACAGUCAAAUGGUAAUUCCAGUUUGAUUAUUAUGGCGGAGAUACUCAAGAAGUAGACAUUUUUUGAAAGAUUUUGUGAUGGAUCAAGGACAUUUUCAAGACAUGCAAGUUAAUACAAGCUGUGGAAGGUGGCGUUUCAUUUACUCCAUUUUCAAAAACCGCAGAUAUGUGAACUUCUCUUUUCUAUAAUUUGUUUUCUGCUUGCAGGAGUAGUUUGAUUUUAUUUAUAAAAUUCCUUUAAAUAAUGUAGGUACUAAUACUUACCUACUUCUUUUUUAAGCAUUUGCUGGCGGAUUCUUUCUCGAGGUUGAACUUAUUGGACUCCUGUGGUAUGCGGAACCUUUUCCAGGUGUUUUCUGAUGAUUUCGCUGGAACUUGGAAGCACCUGCGGAAUAUUUGUACAGAUGACCUUUCCGUGUGCAAUGUGCAUAUCAUCUGUGUGGUGAAACAUGACCAGACUGAUCCGGCAACUUGAAAAAAGAUUUUCUUGGCAGUUUUGCAGCUUAAGCAGCUCUUUUGAAGUGAUUUUUUUCGUAAGGUGUUGUGGGGUAGUUGCAAAAUCGCGAUAUUGCUGCCACCAUAGUGAAUUUUUGGUCAAGCUAUCAAGUGGAGAUUCUUGUACCUAUUUGACAAAAAAUCCUCUCUUGUGGCAGCAAUAUCGCGAUUUUGGAAUUACCCCACUACACCUUUGUCAUUUAGAUACGCAUUCGAUGUUAUUUUAUUUAUUUUUUGGAUCAACAACAAUGUUUCUUAAUAAUUUUUUAUUAUUUUUUUUACACUUCUUUGUUUAUAAUUAUAGUGUACUUACUCACCCGUGUAAAAAAAGAACAUUUUGACCUUU